UGGUGACCUCUCUGCGUUUCCACACCUACAGCAGGAAGAACUGGGAAGAAGCAGACUUCCCCAUUCUGUGCUAGGCAUGUCUUGCAGAAAACCCAGAUAUCCAAAUAACCAAGGAAAAGUGUGGGAAGGAAUGCAAAAUCUGUGCCAAACCAUUCAGUGUUUGGCUGAUGCUCUGGGGUUCACAUGCAUUUCAAGAAGACUGAAGGGUACCAAAGCUGCAGCAAAUUAACUAAUUUCUGUCAGAUCUGCCUCUUAGUGGCAGAGUAUGGCCUGUCCAUCCAGGUUCAUGAUGCAGGUCUAUCCUUAAAAGAUUACAUGCCAAAGUUGGAGGUGAGCAAAAGUACUCCAUUCAGAAUAUGGAAAGAGAGGUUUCUAACUCUGAUGGAACACAGCCAGUUGGUCUGCUGGGAAAAGUCACAUCUAGCAGUGACAUGCUGAACAAUCUGGCCCAGACCAUAUCCUAUCACCUAAAGGCCCACAUUUGCUCCUUCUGGAUGAAAGGAGAGAAUGAGAGAGGAGGCGUGUCCAUACAGGCAUGAGAGGCCUACAGAUCCAGAUAAUACCCUUGCUGAUAAGCAUAUUAAAGACAAGAAUUAUGGAAACAAUGAUGCUGGAGCUGGAGCAUAGAAGCUUCUAAAGCAGGCUUUAACGAUGCCUCAUCUAGAUCCACCAGAGGAUAAGGCUAUCACCACACUAUAUGUUGAUGGUCUGGAGGAUAUCAUUACUGAGACCAAGCUAACAAAUCAUCCCUACCUAUGUAGAGAGAUCUGGAUGAUCACUGUACAGAGACAGCAGUGUGCUUUUAUUUUUAUUUCCACAGGGCAGGCUGCAGAAGUGGCUACUGAGAAGUCCUUUAAUAAAUUGACUGUCAAUGGCUGCAGGCUCAAGGUAAAAUGGGGAAGAUCACAAGCAGCCAAAGGAAAAGAAAAAAAGGACAGAACCACAGACUCUGGGAUCCAGCUAGAGCUCAUUCCAGCUCUGCUAGGAGCUCCUUCUCCUGCAGCAGCAGAAGAUGCAUCUGCCAACUCCUUCCACCUACUCUCAAGCGGCUCUCCAGCUAUGGUGAACAUUGCCCCACCUCCACCCCCAGUAUUUGGGCUACACACAUUCUACCCGACUGGACCACCUGCUCAUUUCAAGAAGGCUCCAGGAUCAAUCUACUGUCUCAGGACCACCAGAGGAUGGGAGCUCAUGCCAGAAAACACAGCACUCCU
rnacentral:lncRNA from 1 species